CCUGCCCAAUGAUAUUUAUUUAAAGGCCGCGGUAUUCUGACCGUGCAAAGGUAGCAUAAUAAUUAGAUCUUUAAUUGGGAUCUCGUAUGAAUGGUUGGACAAGGCAAAUACUGUCUCUAUUUUAACAAUUGAAUCUAAUUUUUAAAUAAAAAAGUUUAAAUAUUUCAAAAAGACGACAAGACCCUAUAAAAUUUUAUAUUAUAAAUUAUUAAUUUUAAUUUUAGUACAUAAAAAAUUUUUUAUUUGUUAAUAUUUUAUUGGGGCGAUAAAGAUUUAAUGAAAUUUAACUUUCUUCUAAAAUAACAAUUUUGAUUGAUUUUAUGAUCCUACUAUAAGUGUAGAUUUAAAAUUAAAUUACUUUAGGGAUAACAGCGUUAUUUUUUCUGAGAGUUCUUAUUGAAGAAGAAGAUUGCGACCUCGAUGUUGAAUUAAAAUAGCUUUAUGACGGAGGGGUUAUAAAAGAAAGUCUGUUCGACUUUUAAAUAUUUACGUGAUCUGAGUUCACACCGGA
rnacentral:rRNA from 1 species